ncrna:unclassified sequences RAGATH-18 RNA
CCUGUGGAGCGUUAUAUCAAACGAAAGUAGCUGCCUGCUUCGGCAGGGCAAAAUCGGACGCAAUGAAACAGGAA